AACGAACGCUGGCGGCAGGCCUAACACAUGCAAGUCGAGCGCCCUUUCGGGGGAGCGGCGGACGGGUGAGUAACGCGUGGGAAUAUGCCCUUCUCUACGGAAUAGCCUCGGGAAACUGAGAGUAAUACCGUAUACGCCCUGUGGGGGAAAGAUUUAUCGGGGAAGGAUUAGCCCGCGUUGGAUUAGGUAGUUGGUGGGGUAAUGGCCUACCAAGCCGACGUUCCAUAGCUGGUUUGAGAGGAUGAUCAGCCACACUGGGACUGAGACACGGCCCAGACUCCUACGGGAGGCAGCAGUGGGGAAUCUUAGACAAUGGGGGCAACCCUGAUCUAGCCAUGCCGCGUGAGUGAUGAAGGCCUUAGGGUUGUAAAGCUCUUUCAGCUGGGAAGAUAAUGACGGUACCAGCAGAAGAAGCCCCGGCUAACUCCGU
rnacentral:rRNA from 1 species